CUGCCAUUUGCUGCUACAGAAAGACAAGACAGGACAUUAGGAGAAAAUCCUCAAGUUGUCUCAGCUUCAGCUCCUGGAGAUCCUCACAGCAGCAGACCUGAAGCCCACGAUCAUUCUGUUGUUGCUGAAGUUCAUUCAGAAGUUGCUGAAGGAGACACGGAGCCAUCCAGAGGUGCCUCAUUCACACACCACUGCGUUUGGUCAUUCCUACCAGCGGUUUCAGGUUCUAGGUCACCCAGCCUUGAGAAAUCCAACAGGAGGCCUACACAAGGAGGCCCACUUAAACCCUGAGAAUAAGGCUGGAGCAAAACUGGUGCAGGGCUCCAUACAAUGCUUCUGAAGUUGACUCUGCCAUUCAUGCUUUAUCUUCUAGAAAAACACCCUUUUUCAGAAGAAAAUGUCCCUAUCAACUUUCAGUACUGCGUUAGAGAAGCACAAGGCUACCCUCCUUCAAAGCCUUUCGCCCACCUGCACUCUUUCCAGUCUCACAGCUGAAUGUGCAGCAUUUUUAAAUACAUCACCAAGCGAGCAUAUUUCAAACCCACACAUUUUGGACAGGCUCAAAACCUGCAUUGUGGCUUCUUUCUUUUUUCUGUUGUGUUUGCCGCUUUGAUUUAUUUACUUCUCAUAUCAUGUUUAGACUUGCUAAAUAUAAAAGCUGUUUAAAAUAACUGUGCAAAAUAUUCUCCAAGUCCUUGAGAAAAAAAAUACAGUGCUCAAGACUGCCUU